rnacentral:rRNA from 1 species
GACGAACGCUGGCGGCGUGCCUAACACAUGCAAGUCGAACGGAGUUAAAUUGAAGCUUGCUUUAAUUUAACCUAGUGGCGGACUGGUGAGUAACGCGUGAGCAAUCUGCCUUCAAGAGGGGGAUAACGGCUGGAAACGGUCGCUAAUACCGCAUAACAUAUAUUUAAGGCAUCUUAGAUAUAUCAAAGGAGCAAUCCGCUUGAAGAUGAGCUCGCGUCUGAUUAGGUAGUUGGUGAGGUAACGGCUCACCAAGCCUACGAUCAGUAGCCGGACUGAGAGGUCGAACGGCCACAUUGGGACUGAGAUACGGCCCAG